GCCAUCACUGUUUGGCCCUUGUCAAAGUUGCUCAAAUCUUUUUGCUUGCCACGUUUUCCUGCUUCCAACACAUGAAAUUCAAGAAUUGACUGUUCACUUGGUGCCAUGGUCAUUGUAACAAUAUAAUCAAUGUUAUUAACUUCACAUGUCUGGUUUUAAUGUUAUGGCUGAUCAGUGUACAGUACAUUGUAGGGAUUUGUAAGGACC